UACGUAGGGCGCAAGCGUUGUCCGGAUUUAUUGGGUUUAAAGGGUGCGUAGGCGGUCUUAUAAGUCAGUGGUGAAAUACGGCAGCUCAACUGUCGAGGUGCCAUUGAUACUGUAGGACUUGAGUACAGACGAGGUAGGCGGAAUUGACGGUGUAGCGGUGAAAUGCUUAGAUAUCGUCAAGAACACCGAUAGCGAAGGCAGCUUACUAGGCUGUAACUGACGCUGAGGCACGAAAGUGUGGGGAUCAAACAGG
rnacentral:rRNA from 1 species